GACAGAGGGUGCAAACGUUGUUCGGAAUUACUGGGCGUAAAGCGCGUGUAGGCGGCUAAGUAAGUCGGGCGUGAAAUCCCACGGCUCAACCGUGGAAGUGCACUCGAAACUGCAUAGCUAGAGUCCUGGAGAGGAAGGUGGAAUGCUUGGUGUAGAGGUGAAAUUCGUAGAUAUCAAGCGGAACACCGGUGGCGAAGGCGGCCUUCUGGACAGUGGCUGACGCUGAGACGCGAAAGCGUGGGGAGCAAACAGG
rnacentral:rRNA from 1 species